rnacentral:rRNA from 1 species
AUUGAACGCCGGCGGCAUGCCUUACACAUGCAAGUCGAACGGCAGCACGGGUGCUUGCACCUGGUGGCGAGUGGCGAACGGGUGAGUAAUACAUCGGAACGUACCUUAUCGUGGGGGAUAACGCAGCGAAAGUUGCGCUAAUACCGCAUACGCCCUGAGGGGGAAAGCGGGGGACCGUAAGGCCUCGCGCGAUUAGAGCGGCCGAUGUCUGAUUAGCUUGGUGGUGAGGUAAAAGCUCACCAAGGCGAUGAUCAGUAGCUGGUCUGAGAGGACGAUCAGCCACACUGGGACUGAGACACGGCCCAGACUCCUACGGGAGGCAGCAGUGGGGAAUUUUGGACAAUGGGGGCAACCCUGAUCCAGCAAUGCCGCGUGAGUGAAGAAGGCCUUCGGGUUGUAAAGCUCUUUUGUCAGGGAAGAAACAGCAGCUCUAACACAGUCUGCGAAUGACGGUACCUGAAGAAUAAGCACCGGCUAACUACGUGCCAGCCGCCGCGGUAA